rnacentral:rRNA from 1 species
AUACCCCGUAGAAAUGCGGCCUAAUACCUUAUGUUCUCCCGGUCUGACAUCAGGACGGGAGCAAAGAUUCAUCGGUUAUGGAUGGGGAUGCGUCUGAUUAGCCUGCUGGCGGGGUAACGGCCCACCAGGGCAUCGAUCAGUAGGGGUUCUGAGAGGAAGGUCCCCCACAUUGGAACUGAGACACGGUCCAAACUCCUACGGGAGGCAGCAGUGAGGAAUAUUGGUCAAUGGGCGGAAGCCUGAACCAGCCAAGUAGCGUGCAGGAUGACGGCCCUAUGGGUUGUAAACUGCUUUUGAAGGGGAAUAAAGAAGGGCACGCGUGCCCUGUUGCAUGUACCCUUGGAAUAAGGACCGGCUAAUUCCGUGCCAGCAGCCGCGGUAAUACGGAAGGUCCUGGUGUUAUCCGGAUUUAUUGGGUUUAAAGGGAGCGUAGGCCGCAUAUUAAGUGUGUUGUGAAAAGCAGUCGCCCAACGUCUGUCUUGCAGCGCAAACUGGUGUGCUUGAGUACGCAC